UAUAUAAGUUAUCGUUUAUUUGAUAGUGCCUAUCCUACUUGGAUAACCGUGGUAAUUCUAGAGCUAAUACAUGCUAAAAAUCCCGACUCACGGAGGGAUGUAUUUAUUAGAUUAAAAACCAAUGCCCUUCGGGGCUCCUUGGUGAAUCAUGAUAACUCUACGGAUCGCACGGCCUUGCGCCGGCGAUGGUUCAUUCAAAUUUCUUCCCUAUCAACUUUCGAUGUUUGGGUCUUGGCCAAACAUGGUUGCAACGGGUAACGGAGGGUUAGGGCUCGACCCCGGAGAAGGAGCCUGAGAAACGGCUACUACAUCCAAGGAAGGCAGCAGGCGCGCAAAUUACCCAAUCCCGAUUCGGGGAGGUAGUGACAAUAAAUACUGAUACAGGGCUCUUUUGGGUCCUGUAAUUGGAAUGAGAACAAUUUAAAUCCCUUAACGAGGAACAAUUGGAGGGCAAGUCUGGUGCCAGCAGCCGCGGUAAUUCCAGCUCCAAUAGCGUAUAUUAAAGUUGUUGUGGUUAAAAAGCUCGUAGUUGAACCUUGGGCCUGGCUGGCCGGUCCGCCUCACCGCGUGCACUGGUCCGGCCGGGCCUUUCCCUCUGUGGAACACCAUGCCCUUCACUGGGUGUGGCUGGGAAACAGAACUUUUACUUUGAAAAAAUUAGAGUGCUCCAGGCAGGCCUUUGCUCGAAUACAUUAGCAUGGAAUAAUAAAAUAGGACGUGCGGUUCUAUUUUGUUGGUUUCUAGGACCGCCGUAAUGAUUAAUAGGGACAGUCGGGGGCAUCAGUAUUCAAUAGUCAGAGGUGAAAUUCUUGGAUCUAUUGAAGACUAACUACUGCGAAAGCAUUUGCCAAGGAUGUUUUCAUUAAUCAGGAACGAAAGUUAGGGGAUCGAAGACGAUCAGAUACCGUCGUAGUCUUAACCAUAAACUAUGCCGACUAGGGAUCGGACGAUGUUAUAUUUUGACUCGUUCGGCACCUUACGAGAAAUCAAAU
rnacentral:rRNA from 1 species